rnacentral:rRNA from 1 species
AGCUCCAAUAGCGUAUAUUUUUGUUGUUGCAGUUAAAAAGCUCGUAGUCGAAUUUCUGGUGGGAGAAUGUGGUCCAACACAGUUGGUACUGGCAGUCUCCGGCCAUCCUUGGGUUUAGCCAUUCUGGCAUUAGGUUGUCGGGGUGGGGAUGCCCAUCGUUUACUGUGAAAAAAUUAGAGUGUUCAAAGCAGACUUAUGUCGUUGAAUAUAUUAGCAUGGAAUAAUAAGAUAGGACUACAGUGCUAUUUUGUUGGUUUGCGCACCGUGGUAAUGAUGAAUAGGGACAGUUGUGGGUAUUCGUAUUCACUUGUAAGAGGUGAAAUUCUUAGAUUAAGGGAAGACGAACUACUGCGAAAGCAUUUACCAAGGAUGUUUUCA